UGUCGUCAGCUCGUGUUGUGAAAUGUUGGGUUAAGUCCCGCAACGAGCGCAACCCUUAUCCUUUGUUGCCAGCGGUCCGGCCGGGAACUCAAAGGAGACUGCCAGUGAUAAACUGGAGGAAGGUGGGGAUGACGUCAAGUCAUCAUGGCCCUUACGACCAGGGCUACACACGUGCUACAAUGGCGCAUACAAAGAGAAGCGACCUCGCGAGAGCAAGCGGACCUCAUAAAGUGCGUCGUAGUCCGGAUUGGAGUCUGCAACUCGACUCCAUGAAGUCGGAAUCGCUAGUAAUCGUGGAUCAGAAUGCCACGGUGAAUACGUUCCCGGGCCUUGUACACACCGCCCGUCACACCAUGGGAGUGGGUUGCAAAAGAAG
rnacentral:rRNA from 1 species